rnacentral:tRNA from 1 species
GGCCGCGUGCCAGAGUGGUCAAAUGGAGCGGAUUGCAAAUCCGUUGGGCAACCUUCGUCGGUUCGAAUCCGACCGCGGCCU